rnacentral:lncRNA from 1 species
CCAUGGACCUUCUCUUCCAUCGAGUCAUGGCUGAGGAUGGUGAGGAGCACAGAAUUGCCUUCCCUCUCCCAGGAUUGAGGAGCAGGACAUGAACUGCCAGACACUGAUCACAGACAGAGGACCAACAAUUUCUGAAGGACCUCAUCCAAUGGGUACCUUGAGUCUUCAGUGAGCUCUGCAUCAGGCCUCUAUCAUACUCCAGCUUGUUUCACAGGGCCUACAGCUGACCAAAGUCCUCAGCUUCUCCAGUUCAGCUUUCUCAAACAAAAGAUUCAGGUGGUCCCCAAAGACCAUCUCUGCUCUUCGUGGGUAUUUCUGCAUCAGAACCACUCCGUCCCCACCACCCUCCGAGAGCUCAGGUGCAAAUCAUCUCCUCAUUAAGCUCCUUGUACAAAUUCACAUACAAAUCCAGAAAAACAAACAGUGGAUAUGA